rnacentral:lncRNA from 1 species
AUCACCUGGCAGCUAAGUCAGACCGUCUGGGGCAGGGGACCCCGGGUCUCCCGACACGCAGCUGGGGCGGACUGUCCUGCCGCAGGAGCCAGCGGCUGCCGCGAUUAUCAGUCACUCCAACCAGGUCUCCCCAUUUCCCUCCUGCCUUUCCAACACGGCAUCAGUCAACACAAAAAUCCUCCCUCUUUAAGGGAUCUGCUCGCCCAGGGGAAGAUUGGAUUGUACUCACGGACUGGGGCCUCACACCCGCAUCUUCGCCGGCGAGAGCUUGCCUCCCCAGCUUGGCUGGUGCUCAGGACACAGGUGCUGCUGCUGCUGUGGCUGCGCGCAUCCUAACGGCGGCCGCUCCGCCUUCCAGCUCGACCUCCCGCCAGAGCUUCUCACCCGGAGGCCCCAAGGCACACCUCUCUCAUGCUUGUGCCUUCCCUCGUGGUCGCGGGGUCCGGAGCAGCGAGGGAGGAGUGGAGGACCCGGGGUUUGCGUCAGCUGGGGCUGUCCGUCCUCACCGCUGCAGCUCGGCUAGGGCUGCAGAAAGUCAGUGCAGUGGCGGAGCUGGCUAGGGCUCCUCGCGGUUGCCACGGCAACCAGGAGCAGGCGCCUGCCCCGGUGGCUGAGCGAAGCUGUGGAGAAAAGGUAAAGGAGAAGCGAUGACGCGCAGGCCUGUCUCCUGGGUAUCCGCUGAGCCUCAAGCGACCCGAAGGAAACGAAUUGCCUGCACCGUACUUUAGACUCAAGCCCAAACCACGCCACCCCUGCUGUCUUUUUUCUUUCUCUCCUCCGCUCCCUCCCCAGUCAACACACACGGGAACAUGUUAAGGACUAAAAAUUCCAGCACUAUCUGAGGCUCGCCCUAGAGGAUCCUGCUGUACGCAGGGAGGAAUGUUUGCUAGGAUCGCUCUUGAAAACAGAACUCUCCCAGCGGGCGACAGCUCUGCGGAUGAGCUCAGAGGAGCCGGAGAAGGGACCAAGCAAAGGAUGGUGAUGAGCAGGCCACUUCAUCUCUUUAUGGCCAUAAAACUAAGUGAUAAAAUACCUCGAAAUUCUAAACCCUGAAAGAUUUAACACCUUAACCACAUAAUUAUUCUGGAAAAAUAAUUUGGUUUUCCCUCUUUCUUCUUAAAAGGCAAGAGUCUCAUCAAAUACAUAGGCUGGCCUUGAACUUGCUGUGUGUUUAUAGUUAAGGGUGAUUUUGAACUCCUGACCCUCAAACAAACAAAGGCAACAACAAAAUACUAGGUGAG